GUUCACCUACGGGGGGCAGCAGUGAGGAAUAUUGGUCAAUGGGCGCGAGCCUGAACCAGCCAAGUCGCGUGAGGGAUGACGGUCCUACGGAUUGUACACCUCUUUUGCCGGGGAGCAAGCGUGCGUUCGUGAACGCGCGUCGAGAGUACCCGGAGAAAAAGCAUCGGCUAACUACGUGCCAGCAGCCGCGGUAAUACGUAGGUGGCAAGCGUUGUCCGGAUUUAUUGGGCGUAAAGCGAGUGCAGGCGGUUCAAUAAGUCU
rnacentral:rRNA from 1 species